CCUACGGGCGGCAGCAGUGGGGGAUAUUGCACAAUGGGGGGAACCCUGAUGCAGCGACGCCGCGUGGGUGAAGGAGUGCUUCGGCACGUAAAGCCCUAUCGGCAGGGAAGAAGCAAGACGGUACCUAACUAACACGCCCCGGCGAACUACGUCCCAGCAGCCGCGGUAAUACGUAGGGGGCGAGCGUUAUUCGGAUUCACUGGGUGUAAAGGGAGCGUAGACGGCCAUGCAAGCCAGCGGUGAAAGCCCGGGGCCCAACCACGGGAGUGCCCUUGAAACUGCAUGGCUGGAGUGCGGGAGGGGCAGGCGGAAUUCCAGGUGUAGCGGUGAAAUGCGUAGAUAUCAGGAGGAACACCGGCGGCGAAGGCGGCCUGCUGGACUGCGACUGACGUUGAGGCUCGAAAGCGUGGGGAGCGAACAGGAUUAGAUACCCUGGUAGUC
rnacentral:rRNA from 1 species